rnacentral:rRNA from 1 species
UGGGGAAUAUUGGACAAUGGGCGAAAGCCUGAUCCAGCAACGCCGCGUGCGGGACGAAGGCCUUCGGGUCGUAAACCGCUGUCAGAUGGGGACGAAGGAAUCGUGGUUAAUAUCUGCGGUUCUUGACGGUACCUUCAGAGGAAGCCCCGGCUAACUCCGUGCCAGCAGCCGCGGUAAUACGGAGGGGGCUAGCGUUGUUCGGAAUUACUGGGCGUAAAGCGCGCGUAGGCGGACUGAUCAGUCAGGGGGUGAAAUCCCGGGGCUCAACCCCGGAACUGCCUUUGAUACUGUCAGUCUUGAGUCCGGAAGAGGCGAGUGGAAUACCGAGUGUAGAGGUGAAAUUCGUAGAUAUUCGGUGGAACACCAGUGGCGAAGGCGACUCGCUGGUCCGGUACUGACGCUGAGGUGCGAAAGCGUGGGGAGCAAAACAGGAUUAGAUACCCAUGGUAGUCCACGCCGUAAACGAUGAGUGCUAGUCGUCGGCAGGCAUGCCUGUCGGUGACGCAGCUAACGCAUUAAGCA